GUCUUCACUGAUGGAGAGGUGUGGAACAUUAAGGAGGUGCUGGAUCUGGUGAAGAGUCAGGUUUACUCUCACAGGUGCUUCUCCUUCGGGAUCGGUGAGGGUGCGAGUACAGCUCUCGUCACAGGAAUGGCCAGAGAAGGUUCAGGUCACGCUCAGUUCAUCACAGGCACUGACCGCAUGCAGCCCAAAGUGAUGCAGUCGCUCAGGUUUGCUCUUCAGCCGGCUGUGGAUAAUAUCUCUGUGGACUGGACCGUUCCUGAGGGUGUGACGGUGGACAUGCUGUCCCCACCCAUCAAUGCUCUGUUCCAGGGUCAGAGGGCGCUCAUCUACGCUCAGA